GGAGGUCCUUACAGUGGCAGCUUUGAGAAUCAGAACCGGAGUUCACCUCAGGCAUUGCUAGGCAAUGGGCAGUCACAGGCGCUCCCUGACGUCACUACACGGCGCCACUCAGCGUCCGCGGCUGUUUCACGGUCGGAUGUGUACACGGUUUGGCGGGCUUCUCUCCUAUAUGGGACUGUGACUCCAAAUAUUCCUCCAUAGGCGUAAACCAGUUUACACCAUCUGAGGACCCUAUGUCUCAGUUUUAUCGGGAUGCCGGCAGUCAUGUGAUCGACACCGGAAUUCUGACACCACUCGGAAUCCCGGCACAGGAACACCAACUGCAGACAUACCAAAGGGAAGAACUGGAACAACUGAGCAGGCCGGGGACAGAAUCACUGCAAGGAUAGAGGGAGAGCGAAAGUGAGAGGAGAAGAGGGCGGAAUGCAGUCAUUAUUAUGUGCGCAACAUCAACAUAAGCAGCUCACAAAUACCAGAUAUUUACUAAGGAGGCUUGGAAAGAGGUUGCAAUACGGCUAAAAUAAGAUGUACAUAACUGAGAGCCACAAAGGAGGACAGUAACGGAUCAAUUAGACGUGGCCGCAAUUGUUUUAUCAGAGGAUCUGAGCUGGAAAAGAUGGUGAUACAUAAGUCUUUCCCUCCCACCCAAUUAGAACUGCAGUACAAGAAGUUUAAUUAAAAUGGAAACGAUGCAAUGCUAUUCUGGGAC